rnacentral:rRNA from 1 species
UACAGAGGUCUCAAGCGUUGUUCGGAUUCAUUGGGCGUAAAGGGUGCGUAGGCGGCGCGGUAAGUCGGGUGUGAAAUCUCGGGGCUUAACUCCGAAACUGCAUUCGAUACUGCGGUGCUUGAGGACUGGAGAGGAGACUGGAAUUCAUGGUGUAGCAGUGAAAUGCGUAGAGAUCAUGAGGAAGACCAGUGGCGAAGGCGGGGUCUCUGGACAGUUCCUGACACUGAGGCACGAAGGCCAGGGGAGCAAACGGG